AGAGUUUGAUCCUGGCUCAGAUUGAACGCUGGCGGAAUGCUUUACACAUGCAAGUCGAGCGGCAGCGCGGGGGCAACCCUGGCGGCGAGCGGCGAACGGGUGAGUAACACAUCGGAACGUGCCCUAUCGUGGGGGAUAACGAAUCGAAAGAUUCGCUAAUACCGCAUACGACCUGAGGGUGAAAGCGGGGGAUCGCAAGACCUCGCGCGAUUGGAGCGGCCGAUGUCGGAUUAGCUAGUUGGUGAGGUAAAGGCUCACCAAGGCGACGAUCCGUAGCUGGUCUGAGAGGACGACCAGCCACACUGGGACUGAGACACGGCCCAGACUCCUACGGGAGGCAGCAGUGGGGAAUUUUGGACAAUGGGGGCAACCCUGAUCCAGCCAUUCCGCGUGAGUGAAGAAGGCCUUCGGGUUGUAAAGCUCUUUCGGCAGGAACGAAACGGUGCGGGCUAAUACCCUGUAUCAAUGACGGUACCUGAAGAAGAAGCACCG
rnacentral:rRNA from 1 species